CAGAAAAGGCGAUCAGAAGGUGUUUCUCACAAGCUCUCUCAGCAGCUUCUCUCCAGCCCCGAGGAUAAAGUCCGAUGGUUAAUUGCAGGCGCUGUUCCCAGAGAGACGGUGUGCCGCCCCCGACCCGCCCUCAGUUUCUAAGAAAGAUGUUCUGAGACGACCACUUUUGACCCUUUAUCUUCCCCAUCGGGGUUCUCUAGAGGUCCUGGGGAAGACCUCGGUCACUUAGUCUGAGUUCAACCAGACCAGGAACAAGACUGGACUAAAAACAGUCAAUGGCACAGCUGGGCUAGUGGAUAAGACAGUACGAGAGAAUUCCAGCGAUCCUGUACUUUGUGUAACCAUCCUGCCCUGGCCCCCAGCUACCAUCACCCCUUAAGCCAGACCUGAGAAUCUGCAGAAACAAAUUCAAGCUGGCUUGAAUUUGUUGUUCCUUGAGGAACCACAAAAUAGUGCAUCUGGUGAAGGGAUCUGGACAGACGGACGUCCUAGGAUUAGGAGAGAAGAAAGGUCUCCACUGAAGCAGUCAGCGAGCUCCCUCCAGGACACAAGAGUUUUGCAUUCUGGAGGAGUUCCAGAGUACACCAGCCUGCCAUAGCAGUCAAGGUGGCAGGAGCUUGCAGCAGUCUGUCCCAUUGUAUCCAGCCAGGAAGAAGAAAGCUAUGAAUGUUCAAGAUCUGGUAUAUAAACACCAGCUUCCAAACAGUCAGGGGCAGCUGAGGUUUAGAAAGAUGCUCCUACUGAAGAGCAGAGUGAGACCUAAGUCCAGAAGAAUGGGAUCCUGGUGGAAACUUCCAGAAGAAAAUGACC
ensembl:lncRNA